UCAAAGUCGUGCACGCCCGAGUGUGUCGCCUCACAUAAUAAUCCAUCUCACCCUUUGUGCAUCACCGCGUGGGCACCCCUUUGGGAUCAUCUCGGAGGGGGCUCGCGUUUUCACACAAAACCCCCCUUUUAAAAGUGUAGAAUGACCUCAUUUAUGCGCUAACCCGCAAUCAAUACAACUUUCAACAACGGAUCUCUUGGCUCUCGCAUCGAUGAAGAACGCAGCGAAAUGCGAUACGUAAUGUGAAUUGCAGAAUUCAGUGAAUCAUCGAAUCUUUGAACGCACCUUGCGCCCCCUGGUAUUCCGAGGGGCACACCCGUUUGAGUGUCGUGAAAACCUCAACCUCCUUGGUUUCUUCUGGAGACCAAAGCAGGCUUGGACUUUGGAGGCCUUUGCUGGCACCUCUCGCCAGCUCCUCUUAAAUGAAUUAGCAGGGUCCUCUUUGCUGAUCCUCGACGUGUGAUAAGAUGUUUCCAUGUCUUGGUUUCUGGCUCUGUCACCUUUGGGACCCGCUUCUAACCGUCUUCAACCUUGCGUUGAGACAACGUUCGAGCAUGUCUCCCUUCUCGGGAAGCUCCCUCGACCCCACGAACCCUUGACCUCAAAUCGGGUGAGACUACCCGCUGAACUU
rnacentral:rRNA from 1 species